GAAGCCACACCUGUGGUGAGGAGCUCUCCAUAUGGGGUUGGAGGUGCCAUGUGAGUCUCCAUGUGUGGUUGUGUUUUAAGCCCAGGAAGUGCUAGGAGUAAGCUGGAAUAAGCUAGAACUCACAGCUGGUUCUUCCACAUAGAGGAAUGAAGGAGUGGAAUCACUGGGGAUACCUCCCGCAAUAGGAAAGCCCCUUGAGAACUGAAACAAGUCAUCUGUUUCUCAGGAGGAGCUGACCAAGAGCCCCCUCCUUUCGUGUGAAUUUAAAUUCCCCUUUUCAUGAGACUUUUCUUAAAGACAAGGAAAAAAAGCUAUCAGGGGAAAAUGAAUAAUAUGACAUCGAAAGUAUUGAAAGGCUUGAAAUGAUCCCACAUGUGUCAUCUGACUUUGAGAGGUGAAGGGGCUCCCGUCUGUACGUAGAGAGGCUGGCGUGCUGCCUGGAUUACUUGUCUGAUGUCACAUGCUAAUGGGAUCCCAGCUAGAAUGCUGGCAACUCUGACUGUAACAACCUCAGACACCUUUGCGCACAGCUUCAGUUUCAAAUUAAUUUUCACAUCCUCCUUAGGAAACUGGGCCCUCCGUAAUCAACAGAACUCUGCAUCGCACAUCCUAACAUUGAAACUCACCUGAGCACAAGGAUCCUACAGUUCUCCUAGACAGACCUCAAGAACCCGCACAGACCCUCGGGGCACACUCCCCUGUGUGUUUUGGAACAAAUAGUCACUCUCUGUGUUUUC
rnacentral:lncRNA from 1 species